GGAGUUGUAGCUCAGUGGUAGAGCGCUUGCCUAGCACGUGUGAGACACUGGGUUUGAUUCUCAGCACCA
rnacentral:tRNA from 1 species